UCGUAAAAAGUAAGUAGUAGUGGUUUAAAGAGCUUUAUUAAAGUGAUUUUGUGUUAAAGUGUUUUAGAGAACAGAGAAUUCACGUGUUUGGAAUAAAAAAUAGCCGCAAUAUAAACGGUCAAACGACUGUCAAUUGAUUGGUAUCUAUUUUAAUGUUGUAAAUGAACACGGAUCAUCUCUAAUCGAGUGGGUUGACAAAAUAAGGAACAUUUUGACGAACAUAAAAGAAUCUAUGAAAUGUCGAGAUCCUUAUAUGAAUGCUAUGCUAUUAGAUUCAGUGGACAAAGAUGGAUUUGGAAAAGAAAAGAAUACAUAAAAACCUUUAUGGUGUCUUCAUGACUAUUUGUAUCCUACAAAAAAAUCAUGCGCACUUUCCGCAAGUACAGUCAUAUGGGGGUUAUACGAAGACGUAGACCUGCACAGUCAAUUUUCUGUCUAAGCUGCAGUAUCCCUUUGGAACUUCAAAUACCAAAUUUGAAACAAUUUCAGUAACCGCUUCUACGAAACGACUCCGCUUCUUUGCUGAUACCAACACCUAUAUCUGCCGGCUACAUUGUCCAUGCUGCCGAAUGAAUAGUCCAUCGUUGCAGACUGUCAUCAUCCCUAUAGAAAAGGAUUUACAAUGGUUUUAUGAACCAGAGAAAUUGGCUUUUCCUACUUCUUCGAUGCAUUCUUUUCCACAUUCGUUGGAAGUGAUGGGGCCUUCUGUACGUAUCGGCAUUCCUCCUUUAUUAUCUUCUGCAAUUAGAUUAUUUAUUUCCUUUCCUACCAAAUGUAUGUAAAUGUCCUCAUUGCCAUUGCUAUUAUUAUUUAUAAUAAAUAGAUAAGUUCCCCCGGA